CUCAAUUAUAGAUUUUUUUCUUGAGGAUUUUUUUGCUUAUUUAAGUUUUUAACUAUUUAUAUUUUAUAUUGUCUUAAUUAUAGAUCAUGUUUGCCGAUUAUGUUUGCUUAUUUAUGUUUCUAUCUCUGUAUCAUAAGGCCAAAAAAAAAGGGUAAAAAAACUGUCCUGAAAGUACCAUACCUAUAUAUGGGAUUUGACGGACAAAUUACGCCAUGUUAGACUUAUCUAUAGAUCUUGUCUUGCUGAUCAUUUUUGAAAUUAAAAGUUUCUCUCUAUCUACUAUAUUUUCUAGAAAU
rnacentral:lncRNA from 1 species